rnacentral:rRNA from 1 species
CAGUCGCCGCGGGAAUACGUAGGUGGCAAGCGUUGUCCGGAAUUAUUGGGCGUAAAGCGCGCGCAGGCGGUUUCUUAAGUCUGAUGUGAAAGCCCCCGGCUCAACCGGGGAGGGUCAUUGGAAACUGGGAAACUUGAGUGCAGAAGAGGAGAGUGGAACUCCACGUGUAGCGGUGAAAUGCGUAGAGAUGUGGAGGAACACCAGUGGCGAAGGCGACUCUCUGGUCUGUAACUGACGCUGAGGAGCGAAAGCGUGGGGAGCGAACAGGAUUAGAUACCCCAGUAGUCCCUGUCUCUUAUAC